rnacentral:rRNA from 1 species
AUUGAACGCUGGCGGCAGGCCUAACACAUGCAAGUCGAGCGAGCGGCGGACGGGUGAGUAAUGUAUGGGGAUCUGCCUGAUGGAGGGGGAUAACUACUGGAAACGGUAGCUAAUACCGCAUACCAUCCGAUGUACCCAGAUGGGAUUAGCUAGUAGGUGAGGUAACGGCUCACCUAGGCGACGAUCCCUAGCUGGUCUGAGAGGAUGACCAGCCACACUGGAACUGAGACACGGACCAGACUCCUACGGGAGGCAGCAGUGGGGAAUAUUGCACAAUGGGCGCAAGCCUGAUGCAGCCAUGCCGCGUGUAUGAAGAAGGCCUUCGGGUUGUGAAGUACUUUCAGUCGUGAGGCGUUACCGACAGAAGAAGCACCGGCUAACUCCGUGCCAGCAGCCGCGGUAAUAC